rnacentral:miRNA from 1 species
GUUUCACAAUAUCGUCGAUAU